GUUUGGUGCUGCACACUUACCACAUGUGGCAGAACGGGUGAACGCCUCUAAAUAGGAGCCCGUGUUGGUUAUGCAAUAUUGUGCAUC
rnacentral:rRNA from 14 species